ACUCUGGAAUAGUACGGAUAACCUCUGGACGGAUAACCUCCGGUAACAAUGGAAUAGCACGGAACCUAUCUCCCAAGGAGAAGCGGUGAAGUAACACGGUCCACCUGGCACACAAUGUCGUUUAUGGUGUAGGGUAUCCAGACAGGCUUAUG